GCCUCUUCAGAAGUGACAUUUAUCGACGAGUCUUUAGAAAUACUGGGUGUCCAUCCUGGCCACGGUAAAGGGGGAGUAAUCACUUUUAAAACAUUAGGAUUGCGAUGGCAAUAUCUGAAUUGCGGGCCAGCACCUGAAACAAGGCAGGCCAUACAUAACGAGGUUUACAUCAUUGUAUUAUGCUCAAAUGUCACAUUUUCCUACAGAGUUGGGGAAUUUAUGUUUAAAUUGACAGUCAAAGACUUUAAGGAUAGAUUUUUAAUCCUUAUUGGAAUUUUCUAUUUUAUUGAAGUUGGUGAAGUUGCCAUUUUAGAAACGCUGUGACCAGUUGUGGCUUUUUAUUAAAUGCAUAUGGAAACUUAGCUUUGUUUUAUAGCAGCUGAAGUGAGAUUGGAUGUUUAACGGACAUUAUUUCCUGGAAAAUAAUUCUAAUAGUCAAAGUUAUCAUAUUUUGAUAUUUUUUGAAUAUUUCACAAUAUACCAUGUUCUCUGUUUACUAAGCGAUUUAACGUUAUACUUCAAAAG
rnacentral:lncRNA from 12 species